AUCAACUUGUUUCCUAAAAUCCUCAUAUCAGUUGGAAACAAGAAGACCACCAAGCAGUGUUUUUGAGUCAAAAAUUAGAGACACACAUGGGUCGGAUUUCACAGCGGUAAACAAAGUAAUCCACAUUUUUUUAAAUUAAGAAAACUCGCGGGACCACAUGCUUAAGGAUGGACGCUCACUCACUACAGACGAAAACGAGUUGGCUCUUAACAAAAUCAGGAAUUGGUCCCCACAAGAUCUAAUCAAAA
rnacentral:lncRNA from 1 species